CCUACGGGUGGCUGCAGUGGGGAAUAUUGGACAAUGGGCGAAAGCCUGAUCCAGCCAUGCCGCGUGUGUGAAGAAGGCCUUCGGGUUGUAAAGCACUUUCAGUGGGGAAGAAAGCCUUGGGGCUAAUACCCUCGAGGAAGGACAUCACCCACAGAAGAAGCACCGGCUAACUCCGUGCCAGCAGCCGCGGUAAUACGGAGGGUGCGAGCGUUAAUCGGAAUUACUGGGCGUAAAGCGCGCGUAGGCGGUCUGAUAAGCCGGUGGUAAAGCCCCGGGCUCAACCUGGGAACGGCAUCCGGAACUGUCAGGCUAGAGUGCAGGAGAGGAAGGUAGAAUUCCCGGUGUAGCGGUGAAAUGCGUAGAGAUCGGGAGGAAUACCAGUGGCGAAGGCGGCCUUCUGGACUGACACUGACGCUGAGGUGCGAAAGCGUGGGUAGCAAACAGGAUUAGAUACCCCAGUAGUC
rnacentral:rRNA from 1 species